rnacentral:tRNA from 1 species
GGAGUGGUACUCAAGUGGCUGAAGAGGACGGUUUGCUAAACCGUUAGUGGUCGCAAGGCCAGCGAGGUUCAAAUCCCUCCCACUCCGCCA